CCAACCCUUCAAUAUUCUGCAGAAUGCAGUGACUUCCAUGCCUGGUGGCCAACCCGCAGUUCAGCGGCGCCAAGGAUAUACAAAUAGUUCAAACACCAAAUCAGAGAGGGCGAGCCUACCGAUCCCAAUCACGUCAAAACGCCCACUGUUUAACCGUCAGCAAGCUCGCGUGUAUCGGAAAGAUAAUUCAAACUUGUCAACUUCCCGGCGUAAACAGAUGCAGACACACCCAGCUGCCCUUGACAGCCGAAAACAGGAGAAAACCCAAAUACCAAAAGAUUUAGCCAAUGGAGCGAAGCCUCAGUCUCUUUUAAACCUUGGAGAGCAAUGGCUAGAAACUCGAAUGCAGCCACCACGCGCAGCCGGUCCUGAAAUUUCAGAGCCUAGCACCAUCACAGAUUCUGAAUUUGGCGCGGAAAUGCACCGCACAUGCGCCCCGCAUCGUUAUGCUUCGACUACAGAGAGUGAUGCGGUUCUCAGCUCCUGGCUAUCUUCAUUAUCUAGCAUUUGUCACCCGCGCGACAAUACUGAUAUUUCUGGAAGCACUCUGUGUCGGUCCCAACCCCCCCC
rnacentral:sRNA from 1 species